rnacentral:ncRNA from 1 species
CUAUAGUUUUUAAACUAUGGCGGAAGGAG